rnacentral:rRNA from 1 species
AGGGAAUCUUCCACAAUGGACGCAAGUCUGAUGGAGCAACGCCGCGUGAGUGAAGAAGGUUUUCGGACCGUAAAGCUCUGUUGUUGGUGAAGAAGGAUAGAGGUAGUAACUGGCCUUUAUUUGACGGUAAUCAACCAGAAAGUCACGGCUAACUACGUGCCAGCAGCCGCGGUAAUACGUAGGUGGCAAGCGUUGUCCGGAUUUAUUGGGCGUAAAGCGAGCGCAGGCGGAAGAAUAAGUCUG